GUUGCAGGGUAUAGACCCGAAACCCGGUGAUCUAGCCAUGGGCAGGUUGAAGGUUGGGUAACACUAACUGGAGGACCGAACCGACUAAUGUUGAAAAAUUAGCGGAUGACCUGUGGCUGGGGGUGAAAGGCCAAUCAAACCGGGAGAUAGCUGGUUCUCCCCGAAAGCUAUUUAGGUAGCGCCUCGUGAAUUCAUCUCCGGGGGUAGAGCACUGUUUCGGCUAGGGGGCCAUCCCGGCUUACCAACCCGAUGCAAACUGCGAAUACCGGAGAAUGUUAUCACGGGAGACACACGGCGGGUGCUAACGUCCGUCGUGAAGAGGGAAACAACCCAGACCGCCAGCUAAGGUCCCAAAGUCAUGGUUAAGUGGGAAACGAUGUGGGAAGGCCCAGACAGCCAGGAUGUUGGCUUAGAAGCAGCCAUCAUUUAAAGAAAGCGUAAUAGCUCACUGGUCGAGUCGGCCUGCGCGGAAGAUGUAACGGGGCUAAACCAUGCACCGAAGCUGCGGCAGCGACAC
rnacentral:rRNA from 1 species